GUUAAAGGGGAUACUGUUCUCUAUAUCAAACCACCCAACUACUUCUGCGAGUGAAGGUCCUGUAUUGAGUCUGCGGCAACAAAGACCCUCAUUCUGCCUGACACUGGAGACGUUGUCCUGGCUAGAGCGAGGUCUGUGUCCUGGGACAGAGCGAUGCCAGCCAGCAAGAGAUGAUCCAUGCGUCCUGGCAUAGUCUAGGUCCUGUUGCGAGUGCAGAUGAAACGCAGUACUGACCAGGCUGAAUCACACCAGGACCUCUGGCCAAGACACUUUUGCUCAGUCGGUGCCAGACGUGCAAAACAGGUCACUCCACCCUGACCUUUCCUGAGCUGAACAGGAGCCGACACUCUUCAGCUACAGUCAGAACUCACGUCGAAGUACAAUGAGAAAUGGCUUUUUCCUGAAUGAUGGCUGUUCUUGCAUCAUUGAGUGCUUG